GGAAGGAUCAUUAACAAAUCUUGGACUGAGUGCAGUCCGUGCACAGGGUGCGCAAGCGCCUUGUGUCACAUACACCCGGGUGUCGGGAGAGCCGCAAGGCUCUACUGACCUUGGUUGCAGCCGCCCUAUGGGCAGCUGUAGGCCGUACUAUACCUCACCCGUAUGGUCGACCACAUAGACGCUUGUUUGUUUGACAGAGUAUAGUUGCACCACAACGAUACAACUUUUAACAAUGGAUCUCUUGGCUCUUGCAACGAUGAAGAACGCAGUGAAAUGCGAAAAGUAAUGCGAUUUGCACGAAUCUGUGAGUCAUCAAGUCUUUGAACGCACCUUGCACCAUACGAGCAAUCGUCUGGUAUACCUGUUUGAGAAUCGUAAAAACCUCUCUCAUCCUAGUGAUGGGGACUUGCUGGCUGGGCACCAGUACCCUCGGGUACUAUGGCCCUCCAGUCAAAAGGAGUAAGCCGGGCUACACUGGUGGCCUAGGACAUUGUGUGCUAGAGACACUGCAUUACGCAGACCGUCUUCUCACAGUGCGUCCUAGGCUAUCAAGCCAGUGUGGUGCAGGCUUUGUAGUAGUGCACCUUUACGGGUGUGCUACAACCCCACUCUUUGAUCUCAAAUCAGGUAAGACUACCCGCUGAACUUAAGCAUAUCAGUAAGCGGAGGAAAAGAAACUAACAAGGAUUCCCCUAGUAACGGCGAGCGAAGCGGGAAGAGCUCAAAUUUAUAAUCUGGUAGGCCUUGCCUAUCCGAGUUGUAGUUUAAAGAGGCGUUAUCUGGGCCCGGGUCAGUGCUCAAGUCCCUUGGAAUAGGGCGUCACAGAGGGUGAGAACCCCGUCUGGGCACUGGGCCAGGUCCUCCAUGAGGCGCUCUCUACGAGUCGGGUUGUUUGGGAAUGCAGCUCAAAAUGGGUGGUAAAUUUCAUCUAAGGCUAAAUACUGGCAAGAGACCGAUAGCGAACAAGUACCGUGAGGGAAAGAUGAAAAGCACCUUGAAAAGGGAGUUAAACAGUGCGUGAAAUUGUUAAAAGGGAAACGAUUGAGACCAGUAUUGCUGCUGGCCGUUCAGCGGUGCACUCGUGUGCCGUGUACUCGGUCAGUGGCGAGUCAGCGUCAGUUUGGGUGUCCGGAGAGAGGCUGGAGGAAGAUGGGGUUGGCCCUCGGGCCCUCCUUUUAUAGACUCUGGCUGGCACGGGCGCCGGGACUGAGGUGUGCGGCUGCCGUACUCUCGGCCCGAGACCCGACCCUAGGCCGGCGGACUACACGUAGACCGCUGGCGCAAGGAAGGGAGGUAGGAGCGAGCAGGCAGGUCGAGGAUGCUGACGAAAUGGUCUUAAACGACCCGUCUUGAAACACGGACCAAGGAGUCCAACAUAUAUGCGAGUAUUUGGGUGGCAAACCCGAGUGCGUAAUGAAAGUGAACCAGAUGGGAGCCUUGCCCUGUGCAUGGUGCACCAUCGGCCGAGCCCUGAUGUCCUCUGACGGGCUUGAGUAGGAGCAUAUCUGUUGGGACCCGAAAGGUAGUGAACUAUGCCUGGAUAGGAUGAAGCCAGAGGAAACUCUGGUGGAGGUCCGUAGCCGUUCUGACGUGCAAAUCGAUGGUCAAAUCUGGGUAUAGGGGCGAAAGACUGAUCGAACUACCUAGUAGCUGGUUCCCUC
rnacentral:misc_RNA from 1 species